CAAACUCGUUCAUUUCGCUGUCGGUUUUCAAAGAGUGAACUUGUUGGUUUCGCAAAACAUGGAAAGGUUACAUUUAAUUAUGGAAUUGUUUUAUAAAAUAUUGCUAAAAUAUCAAUUCUGCAUGUAUUCUGCAACUUUCGCAGCUGCAAAGAAAUAAAAGGCCGCAAUGAUGUGCCGGAAAAGUGGGGAUGAAAUUACCUAUGCAAUUCUGAAAAACUGCUUAUGUCGAUGCAUGUGCUAUGUGCUCUAAUCCCCUGGUAAAAGCCCUUACCCAGCUGCUUGUAAGAUGCUUGUAAACCAGAUGGCGAAUCAGUGGUCACAAAGGACAAAGAAUUAUUCGGUUUUUGCACAGAGUCAAUAUUAAAAGGGAGAAACAUGUUGGGUGUGUGGAUAUCUGAAAAGGUUCUUUGAUACCAUUUUAGAAUGUUUGCCUAAUUGAACACUGAGAAGCUAUGUAUAACGGAUGGCUGGCGUAAAUUGAUAGGCAUGCGAAGACAACAAUCGCUCGGAGCUCGAAUUUAUGCUUGUCCAAUGAAGAUAGAUGGAGAUUACAUGGGAUACGAACAGCCUUGUCUGAACCAUCAUAAGCAGUCUAACGACAGUAAGAUCUACGUGACUUGAAUGACUCGCGUCUCAUAUCUGGCCGGGAAUUUUUAAUCUAGCUGCAUUUCCCAAAAACUUGGGUAAAUUUUGUGGACUACUAAAUUUGCAUCAUGCCGUUUUAGUUGAAAAAUUAAAAUGAAAUGAUUUGAAAUAUGUAUUAAAUAAAAAUCAAAGUUUUAAUAAAAUUUCA